UUUACCUACGGGACGCAGCAGUGAGGAAUAUUGGUCAAUGGGCGAGAGCCUGAACCAGCCAAGUCGUGUGAGGGAGUACUGCCCUAUGGGUUGUAAACCUCUUUUGUCGGGGAGCAAAAGCCGGACGUGCCCGGCUGUGAGAGUACCCGAAGAAAAAGCAUCGGCUAACUCCGUGCCAGCAGCCGCGGUAAUACGGAGGAUGCGAGCGUUAUCCGGAUUUAUUGGGUUUAAAGGGUGCGCAGGCGGAUUUUUAAGUCAGCGGUCAAAUCGAGGGGCUGAACCCCAUCC
rnacentral:rRNA from 1 species